GCUCAGCCCUCGCUCUGGGGCCCGGGCAGCCUGAAAGGUGUGGCGCGCAGGCGCAGAUGCCGCAGAGGGCAGCAGCUGAAGAAGGGAUUAGUGACUUGUCCAAGAUAAUAGAGCAAGAAUGUUUGGUGCCUGAAGAAGUGGAAUAGAGGGGCCCUGUUCUCCAUUUCAGAGAAUACACAAGUCUGCUAAACAAAUGGCAGGAGAAACAUUUUUGGAUUGGCUGUUAAGCUGGAAACUGAAAUAAAACUACCUGAAGUGUCUCACAAGACUUUCCAACAUUGAGAACUGAAUCAAUUGAAAGAUAAAGUCAAUCUAUCCUUGCUGUAUUUCUAAGUGAACGUCUUACUUGAUGGAUAAUCUAGCUUAAUCAUUGAAUGAGGAGACCAUUUGAAUGCUAAUGCCUUUAGUGGGUUGGUGAUGCUACUGUCUGGAGGCCCUUUGACCUAGAUACCCUAACAAGAGUGAUUACAAAGUAACAGAUGGAGUCUAAGAGAACAGAGACAUAGAAUGACCUCUGCCUGAACCCAGGUACUAGAAUCCUCUCUUUUGUGCUUAUGUAUUGUACAACACCAGAAUACUAAACCACUGGAUGGGACCUUUGAUGCAAGAUCCAUUCAGGACUCAUUUCCAGACAAAGGACUCAAUUUCACAUAAAAGAUGGAUGCAGAGACAGCAGAUCAUACCACAUUUUCCUCACUGAUCAUUGUCCUAGAACCCUUGGCAAGUCAAGUAACUGGUGAAUUAUUAUCAACACAUUCCGAGAAGGAACUUAUUCUGUGACUUAAGGAGAAAUCUAGGAGGUCCCUUUUUCUCUAUAAUAGCUCACAAACUGAUCUGAAGAUCCUGGCCUCUGCAUGAGACUUGACCUACAGGCCCAGAACAAGACAUGCUUCCAGCUCCUUCCCAUUCUAGAAGUACCUUCAACAAAUGUGAAGUGCUCAUAUCUUUAUGCUUCAUUUCUUCAUUAUAUUUCCGG